GAAUCGCGAUAGGAAUUGCGAAUUGCAGAAUUCAGUGAAUCAUCGUAACUUUGAACGCAAACUGCGCUUGAGGGUUGACCUCGAGCAUGCCUCUUUGAGUGUCGGUCAAACCAUCCUGCUGGUUUUCCACAGGGAAUUGCGAGUCCUGACGGUCUCUGUAAGUACGUGUAGCUCCCGAAAGGGAUGCGAAUCGCGACUGGUGUCGGUCAAUGCGAGUGGAGAUAGUAUUUUCACAAGCGACUGGUGCUUUAGUGACCGCUUUGCUCUGUGUCUUCGGACAAACUCUGACCAUCGACCUCAGAUGAGGUAGGAUUACCCGCUGAACUUAA
rnacentral:misc_RNA from 1 species